rnacentral:rRNA from 1 species
CCUGGGUUUGACAUAUAGGUUGUAGGGAACUGAAAAGGGACCGACCCUUCGGGGAGCCUAUACAGGUGUUGCAUGGCUGUCGUCAGCUCGUGUCGUGAGAUGUUCGGUUAAGUCCGCUAACGAGCGCAACCCUCGCUGUAUGUUAUAUGUAUCAUACGGGACUGCCGGUAAAAAGCCGGAGGAAGGUGGGGAUGAUGUCAAGUCAGCAUGACCUUUAUAUCCAGGGCUACACACACGCUACAAUGGUCUGUACAAUGGGUAGCCAAGCCGCGAGGCGGAGCCAAUCCUGAAAGCAGGCCUCAGUUCAGAUUGCAGUCUGCAACCCGACUGCAUGAAGCCGGAGUUGCUAGUAACCGCAGGUCAGCUAUACUGCGGUGAAUACGUUCCCGGGUCUUGUACACACCGCCCGUCACGUCAUGGAAGCUGGCAACGCCUGAAGCCGGUAUCCUAACCCUCACGGGAAGGAGCUGUCUAAGGCGGGGUCGGUGACUGGGACGAAGUCGUAACAAGGUAACCAAGGGCGAA